ensembl:misc_RNA 7SK 7SK RNA
GGAUGUGAGGGGAUCUAACUGCAAUGUCUGUCACCCCACAGGUCGUCAGGGUCAAUUUGGCUGAUCUUGCUGGCUGAGUGGGUGGCCCCUUCCUCCCUCACCGCUCCAAGUGCAUCACUUCUGUAACUGCGCACUUGAUCAAAGAGGACGGCCUUUCCCGAAUAGAGAUAGACCGGUUUUUGUCUAGUAGCUGUGCUCCCCUGAUAGAACCUCCAGACAAGCUUACAAAGGGUCCAUGCUCAGUUUGCCACAAUGUGUCAGAAAGAGGGAGUAAGGGCUUGGGUGGCCCUGGAAGU